GCGGAUGUGGCGGAACUGGUAGACGCGCAUGAUUCAGGUUCAUGUGGGGCGACCUGUGCAGGUUCAAGUCCUGUCAUCCGCACCA
rnacentral:tRNA from 1 species